rfam:Gossypium hirsutum cultivar TM-1 chromosome 18, whole genome shotgun sequence
UGUCAAAAUUUUUAUCCAUUUUUACUGUUAAAAACUGGCAUGUCUAAUAAAAUAACUAAACAAUGACACGUGACGUGCCACAUCUACCUCAUGUAGACGUUCAGGGACCAAUUUUUAACAGCAAAAUGGAUUGAAUUUUUUAACA